ensembl:lncRNA
AUCUCUUUCUAGAGAUCCCUCAUUUGUGGAGCUUUUCAUCUUAAGCCUAAAUCUUCAGCUAUGGAAGCCACAAGAUAAAGCCUGCUUGUUUUCUCCUGUAAGACAUAGUGGCCAGGUAGAAAUGGGACAGUUUGCUAUAAUUAGCUAAGAGGAUCUCAGAAGACAUAUUACAGCUACACCUCAGACAGCAGGAAGUCACAUGAAGCAGAUGCAGUUUCUUUAUUUAUCUUAUUCUUCAGCAUAGGCUACUAGCAGAAAAUGAUAUUAGUGGGUUGCCUCUCAGAAAUCCAGACAGACUACUUACUGCUUUCUUUUCCUUUCCCAUUUUUUUUUAAUAGUUCUGCACUCAGUUUUCAUGAGUAACAACCUGCAGAUCCUCAGAUUUCAGGCAUCCCAAAAGAAAAUGCUUUGCAAAGUGAAGUUAAAAUACAAAUAAAAGCUUUGAAAUUUUAUUGUGAAAGACAGUUGCCUCAGUAAGGCUAUCCAACAAUGGAUGUGUUACCUGUCUCAUUAUUCAGCAAGGGUUGAUGCAUCUUCCUGGCCUCUGAAGAUGCUUUUUAUUUGGAGACUUCAGGUCAGCCUCAUACUCCAAUACUGACAUGACAUUUAUCAGCAGUAAAAGGAAGAUCAUGAUCAUGCCAGGUAGACAUGAUUCAAAACUCAAUAGCUGAUUUAGAUAACUUGGAACUACCUAGAGCAAGAAAGCCAUGAGAAAAUGUCUGUGCAACUCCAUGGAAAUGAGUCUUAUCCUCUGUUCAGGUGCCACUGUUUCUCAUGGAGCCAACAGCCAUAUGAUUUCAGGCUUCCUCUCUUACCUCUUCCAUGGAGCUGAACCUCCAGCAAGAAAUAUGUUAUCUUUAUAUGAAAUCACAUCAUGGAUUUAAUGUGCAUAAUAGAUCUACAGAAAGUUGCUUGUGCACAGAAUGCAGAGCAGAGGAAUGUAUAGAAGGUGGGAAAUACGAAGUUAGAGCUUUUCUUUCGCUGCUUUAAACAGAGAACAUGUGAAAUUACUGCCUCAAGUGUUUAGAGCAGUGGGACUGAUGAUCACAAACAGAGUUUACCACUUAUCUGUAAAUCGUGUUUGCAAAUAGCCGUGAUUGAUUUGCUGCAUGUCUUCUCCCUUUUGGCUGAAGACCUUGAUGAUCCUUCUCUGUAAAAUCCCCACAGGAAAUUUUGAGCACUGAAAAAUAUCCACUUUCCCCUAUAGUGUUUGUUCUGCACUGGACAAAGUAGAGUAAGAGACAGAGUGCUGAACUCUUUCUGGAUCUCAAUAAGAGAGUCUCUUAAUAAAAUGGCAUAGAUAUUGGUCAAACUCAAAGUUCUUCAGACACUAGGAACAUCUCUUUCAUGCAGCACUGAAUGGACAUCAGAAGGACUUUCCCAUGUUGCACUGCAUUGACUCUGUCUGUGGAUGGAGGAAGAACCCUCUGGUGUAAUGACAUGGGAAUGAUUGCACCAGAUCACAAUAGCUGUCCACCUACCUUGUUCUUUUCUUCAAUAGAGACCAGUAGUGCAUUUUCAGAGAGCAAUGCAAAAAAAAAUAAGGAUCAAAAACUUCCUCUGUUGUGUUCAGGGAAAUUGAAGCACAUUGUCCUGAGGCUGUGACCCAGGAGCCCAGAGCACACAUAGAAAAGGAAAGUGUUUGUUCCUUUUUGCAUUUGGAAUGUAUUAGCUUGUAGUUGUUUAACUGUUGGAUUAAUAGCUGCUUUGAGGAAGAAUGUGUUAAAAAAAAAACUCAAGUAAUGAAAUCUUUAUUAGAUUCAUUAGGGACAUAUUUGUAUCUUCUUCUGAAGUUAUUUUGACUACAGAUUUGUUUGGGAAUAUAUUUGUAUGCUUUGGUGUUUUCUUCCUAUCUCAAAAAACUUCAGUUGGCUACAAAAAUUCUCAGUCUGUAACUCAGUAUCUGCUAUGGUACCUGUAUUCACAUUUCAUAAUGAGACUUAGCAAGUCAGUAUAGAUCGGAUAAGUUAUGCUGCUACUUCUUCUUUAAAAAUAAAAAUUAAAAAAAAAAAAAAUAGCAGUCAGUUUUAAUGUCUACCAGGAGAAUGAAGCAGUUCAAUUUUCACUAGAAUUGUGUGCAGUUCCAGAUCAGAAGCUUACUAGAUUUAUGUCAAAACCUCAUCUAUAAUUUAAUUAACACUGUUUUCUCAGCACUGGGAAGCUUCAGCCACCAGGAACCAAGACUUCAAUAAUUUUCUAGUGGGGUAAUAUCCAACGCUUAUUGGAUAUUGCCUUCACAGAGAAGAUAGCCUGUGCACUGAGGAUAUUCUAAAUUUACAAAUGCACUAUUGAUUAAAACUUUAAUCAUUUGUAAAAAUACUUUCAUUCUUUUUAGAUGAAGAAACAUUAGCAGACAGCAAAAAAAAAAAAAAAAGAUACUUUAGCUACCAGAUGUUUCAUCUUUAUGUCACUUAUGAAAAGAGCAUGGACAUGAAUUUUUGCUUAUUUGUUUGUAUAGAUACAAUUAAAAAAAAACUACUGUGAUCAUC